UUCCGGUUGAUCCUGCCGGAGGCUACCGCUAUUGGAGUUCGAUUAAGCCAUGCGAGUCGCGAGUCUUAGGGACUCGGCGUACCGCUCAGUAACACGUGGGUAACCUGCCCUAUGCUGGGGGAUAACCUCGGGAAACUGAGAAUAAUACCCCAUAGUUCACCACGCCUGGAACGGUGGGUGGAUCAAAGCUCCGGCGGCAUAGGAUGGGCCUGCGGCGUAUCAGGUUGUAGGGGGUGUAAUGUACCCUCUAGCCCUCUACGCGUACGGGUGUUGAGAGACAUCGCCCGGAGAUGGAUUCUGAGACACGAAUCCAGACCCUACGGGGUGCAGCAGGCGCGAAAACUUGGCAAUGCGAGAAAUCGUGACCAGGGAACUCCAAGUGCAUCGGGUAAGACCGAUGCUUUUCUUGACUCUUCAAAGGUCUUGGAAUAAGGGGUGGGUAAGGACGGUGCCAGCCGCCGCGGUAAUACCGGCGCCCCAAGUGGUAGUCGCUUUUAUUGGGCCUAAAACGUCCGUAGCCGGUCUGGUACAUUCGUGGGUAAAUCAACCAGCUCAACUGGUUGAAUUCUGCGAGCACGGCCAGACUUGGGACCGGGAGAGGUGUGGGGUACUCUCAGGGUAGGGGUAAAAUCCUGUCAUCCUGAGAGGACCACCUGUUGCGAAGGCGCCACACUAGAACGGAUCCGACGGUCAGGGACGAAGCCUAGGGGCACGAACCGGAUUAGAUACCCGGGUAGUCCUAGGUGUAAACGCUGUGGACUUGAUGUUGGGGGCGCUCCGAGCGCACUCAGUGUCGAAGCGAAGGUGAUAAGUCCACUGCCUGGGGAGUACGGUCGCAAGGCUGAAACUUAAAGGAAUUGGCGGGGGAGCACCGCAACCUGAGGAUUGUGCGGUUUAAUUGGAGUCAACGCCG
rnacentral:rRNA from 1 species